CAAAAUAAAUCUAUUUCUGAUGUAAGAAAACAAAACACAAAACAAAAAACGCAUGACCAUUUAUGCAACUAUAAUGCAGUAAGUAGGAUUUGCACAAUUUAUCUCAUUCUUUUAUUUGAAAAAAAUCACCAAGUGGAUUGUAAUGUCUUUAUUAAUGAUUAAAGUAAUAAAACCCAAGUUCUCUUACUUGUAUAAUGGAACUAAUAAUUUCAACUUUUUUUCCCUAAAAGUAAUAUUGAAUUUGUCUGACACACAGUUUAGGAAUCAUAACUUGAAUUAUUGGAAUUCAUUUGGGAAGCCCAGCCUCACUUAAAAUUGCUGCUGUCUGCAAUGUAAUAAAUGUGAUCGAUGGCCUUCUGCAGCUAUGCGGUUUAGCUGCUCCUUCGUUGUUGAGGGAGAGGCCCCUUUGUGUGUAUACAUGUGCGUAUUUCUUGAAAGCUCUGCAACUGUUUCCAACAGGAACCAGUUUUGAGCCUCCUGCUCACAGUUAUCUAAGAAUAUCCUGUUAUUUUCCAAUUAUCAUAGAACAAUUUAGAUUACCUGUAAGAAAAAAAAUUUCAUUGAAGAUGGAUGACUCGUAAAACAGUAAAAAUAUAAGCACAGGGAGCCCUUAUUAGUUCUGUUUCUCUUGAUUCUUUGUCAUUUUGAACUAGAAGGAAAAAUUGGUUUCUACUGGUAACUAGAACUUUCACAAGAUCAUCGGAUUAAGCAAAGUCACACCAGAAAAUUUAAAUUAGUCUCAAUGUUGUUCGUUAGAAAUAAGUGUUUAAGUACACUUUCAAACAAAGUAAACGCAGAUUUUAGUCAGUGCCUUCCCCAACAUAUCUCCAGUAUUUCUUCUUCUUUCUUUUUUUCUUUUUAUGAGACAGGGUCUCACUCUGUCACCCAGGCUGGAGUGCAAAGGCACCAGCAUAGCUCACUGCAGCCUCAACCCCUUGGGCUAAAGCAAUACUCCUGCCUCAGCCUCCCGAGUAGCUGGGACCACAGGCACGCACCACCAUACCUGGCUAUUUGUUUUUAAUCUUUUGUAGAGAUGGGGUCUUGCUAUGUUUCCCAGGCUGGUCUCAAAUUCCUGGGCUCAAGCAAUCUGCAAACCUCGGCCUCUCAAGUGCUGGGAUUACAGGUGUGAGCCACUGCACCCAGCCAGUAUCUUCAGUAUUUCCGUACCUCCUCCCUGCUCUCCUUUUUUCUUCCAUUGGACUUAACACUUCAAUUCAUAAUUUUAAACAUAAAUUAUUUGACACCACUCUUGCAGUUGAUUACAACACACCCAUGUAUAGGAAUAAAGCAGAGAACUUAGGCAAUACACUCUACUACCAUGUGAGAUGUUUAACUCCUAAAUCAAAUUAUCUUCCUCACUUAGUAAAUUUAUGAAUACAGGUUAAAUAUCCCUUAUCUGAAAUGCUUAGGACCAGAAGUGUUUCAAAUUUAAGACUUUUUCAGAUUUUGGAAUAUUUGCCUAUACAUAAUGAGAUAUCUUAGAGCUGGGAUGCAAGUCUAAACACAAAACGUAUUUAUGUUGCCUAUAUCUUAAUGCACAUAGCCUGAAGGAAAUUUUAUACAAUAUUUUAAAUAAUUUUGUGAAUAAAACAAAGAUGGUGCACAUUGAACCAUCAGAAAGCAAAGGUGUCACUAUCUCAGCCACCCAUGUGGACAGUCUGUGGUUGUUUG
rnacentral:lncRNA from 1 species